CGGAACCCUUCGUGCGCGAGUCUGACUCGCACUUGCCCGGUUUUUUAUUAUAUCUCGAAAACUGAGGGUGUUAAAAAAAGUUGAUAUGAAAUAACGAUGAUUAAAUUAUGUGACUUUUAUUAUAUCUCAAAUUUUUUU